rnacentral:rRNA from 1 species
GAUGAACGCUAGCGGCAGGCCUAAUACAUGCAAGCCGGACGGCAAGUUGAGUAGCAAUACUUGACCUAGAGUGGCGUAAGGGUGCGUAACACGUAUGCAAUCUGCCCACAGCCGGGAGAUAGCCCUCCGAAAGGAGGAUUAAUAUCCCAUAGGAAGAUGAGAUGGCAUCAUUUUAUUUUUAAACUACGGGGCUGUGGAUGAGCAUGCGGUUGAUUAGCUAGUUGCGGGUAAAGGCCCACCAAGGCGAUGAUCAAUAGGGGACCUGAGAGGGUGAUCCCCACACUGGCACUGAGAUACGGGCCAGACUCCUACGGAGGCAGCAGUAGGGAAUAUUGGACAAUGGGUGUAAGCCUGAUCCAGCCAUGCCGCGUGCAGGAAGAAGGCCUUCUGGGUUGUAAACUGC